CAGACUACUGCUGUUCAUAGCAUCAUUGACAGAUGAAGGGGGUGCAUAGAUUUCCUUGUUCUUUUUAGAUGGGGAUGAUUUUCUUGUUUUUCUAUUGGACUGGCCACCUGCAGUUGUAGGCUACAAGCACACACAAACAAAAUUUUGUCUGCUGAGGGGCUCUCUUCCACAACAACUCAAACCAUAUGCAGGUGCAGUGACAAGAGCUGGAACUUGGCAAGAACUAAUUCUACAGUAUGUACACAGCAUCAUGGUAAUCACUUCCUAAAGUAUCAGACUGUUCCAUGCGACCUAUUUGAAAAUUUCUUAUCUGUGGAGCAGCUGUUGCCAUGAUCCCACUGUGAAAUCAAGUAACAAUACAAUGUUGAAGUGCUGAACUUGCAUGUUAUAGAAAAUAUGAUUCACUCAUUGUGCUCAUAAUGAAAUGAUAAUAAAUAAUGAAAAGGAAAACCUCUUGCCGGAAACAA